rnacentral:rRNA from 1 species
AGGGUUUCGGCUUCGUAGGUGACCUGCGGAGGAUCAUUAACGAGUUUUGAAACGAGUUGUAGCUGGCCUUCCGAGGCAUGUGCACGCUCUGCUCAUCCACUCUACCCCUGUGCACUUACUGUAGGUUGGCGUGGGCUCCUUAACGGGAGCAUUCUGCCGGCCUAUGUAUACUACAAACACUUUAAAGUAUCAGAAUGUAAACGCGUCUAACGCAUCUAUAAUACAACUUUUAGCAACGGAUCUCUUGGCUCUCGCAUCGAUGAAGAACGCAGCGAAAUGCGAUAAGUAAUGUGAAUUGCAGAAUUCAGUGAAUCAUCGAAUCUUUGAACGCACCUUGCGCUCCUUGGUAUUCCGAGGAGCAUGCCUGUUUGAGUGUCAUGGAAUUCUCAACUUAUAAAUCCUUGUGAUCUAUAAGCUUGGACUUGGAGGCUUGCUGGCCCUUGCGGUCGGCUCCUCUUGAAUGCAUUAGCUCGAUUCCGUACGGAUCGGCUCUCAGUGUGAUAAUUGUCUACGCUGUGACCGUGAAGUGUUUUGGCGAGCUUCUAACCGUCCAUUAGGACAACUUUUUAACAUCUGACCUCAAAUCAGGUAGGACUACCCGCUGAACUUAAGCAUAUCUGGUCAGCCAGCUCUGUAGGUACUUAGCAUUUUGGCUAUGCGGAAAGGCGGGGGGGGGGGAAAGGGAGGUAAGAUUCGGA